UUCAACAGGGGUGAAAUCUGGAUAUACCAUGAAUUUUUUGAUUAAAGUACCUUUUAGGUGGUCAAAUGACUAGGAUUAGAUACCCUAUUAGUCCACUCUUAAUUAACCUGGGUAGUAGUAUCGAAACCUAAAGAAUUUGGCGGUUUCUAAACCUACUAGAGGAACCUGCCCCAUAAACGACAAUCCACGAAAAAAUUCACCCGGGCUAGUUAUGCAGCUUAUAUACCGUCGUUUAGAGGACUAAAUAAAUAGAUCCUCUUAAAAGCUUAGGCUAAUAAAUCAGAUCAAGGUGUAGCUUAUGCCCGGGAGAGGGUGGGUUACAAUGAAAAUUCAUACGGAGUUUCCAUUUUAUGAUAGAAAAGAAGGUGGAUUUAGAAGUAAGACCUAAUAUACUGAAAAAGGCUCUCAGAAAUGUACAC
rnacentral:rRNA from 1 species